GACGAACGCUGGCGGCGUGCUUAACACAUGCAAGUCGAGCGGUAAGGCCCUUUCGGGGGUACACGAGCGGCGAACGGGUGAGUAACACGUGGGUGACCUGCCCUCAGCUCCGGGAUAAGCCUGGGAAACCGGGUCUAAUACUGGAUAUGACUCCAUGACGCAUGUUGUGGGGUGGAAAGCCUUGUGCGGCUGAGGAUGGGCCCGCGGCCUAUCAGCUUGUUGGUGGGGUGAGGCCUACCAAGGCGACGACGGGUAGCCGGCCUGAGAGGGCGACCGGCCACACUGGGACUGAGACACGGCCCAGACUCCUACGGGAGGCAGCAGUGGGGAAUCUUGCGCAAUGGGCGAAAGCCUGACGCAGCGACGCCGCGUGAGGGAUGGACGG
rnacentral:rRNA from 1 species